GACGAACGCUGGCGGCGUGCUUAAUACAUGCAAGUCGAACGGAGUGGCGAACGGGUGAGUAACACGUGGGUGAUCUGCCUUGUACUUCGGGAUAAGCUUGGGAAACUGGGUCUAAUACCGGAUAUUGCAAGAUGAGCUCGCGGCCUAUCAGCUUGUUGGUGGGGUAAUGGCCUACCAACGCGUCGACGGGUAGCCGGCCUGCGAGUGUGUACGGCCACAUUGGGACUGAGAUACGGCCCAGACUCCUACGGGGGGCAGGGGUGGGGAAUAUUGCACGAUGGGCGGAAGCCUGAUGCAGCGACGCCGCGUGGGGGAUGAAGGCCUUCGGGUUGUAACCUCCUUUCGACAGGGACGCGGUACCUGUAUAAGAAGCACCGGCUAACUACGUGCCAGCCGCCGCGGUAAUUC
rnacentral:rRNA from 1 species